ACUGGUGUGGUUGUUGUUGCUGGCCCUCUCGGGGGCAUGUGCACACCCACCAUCCUCAUCUCUCCACCUGUGCACCUCUUGUAGACCUGGAUAGACUUUCCGAGGCAACUCGGUCGGGAAGAUUGCUGCGCUCUGUGAGCCAGCUUUCUUUGCAUGUCCAGGCCUAUGUUUUUCAUAUACCCCUAUAGAAUGUAACAGAAUGUAUCAUUGGGCCUUGUGCCUAUAAACCUUAUACAACUUUCAGCAACGGAUCUCUUGGCUCUCGCAUCGAUGAAGAACGCAGCGAAAUGCGAUAAGUAAUGUGAAUUGCAGAAUUCAGUGAAUCAUCGAAUCUUUGAACGCACCUUGCGCUCCUUGGUAUUCCGAGGAGCAUGCCUGUUUGAGUGUCAUUAAAUUCUCAACCUUAUUAGCUUUUGUUGAUAAUGGAUUGGAUGUGGGGGUUUAUUUUGCUGGCUUCUUCAGAGAUCAGCUCCCCUUAAAUGCAUUAGCUGGUGCCCCGCGUGGACCAUCUAUUGGUGUGAUAAUUAUCUACGCCGUGGAUGUCUGCAAUCAUAUGGGUUUUGCACUGCUUCUAACCGUCUGUUCAUUCGGACAAUAUAUGACAAUUUGACCUCAAAUCAGGUAGGACUACCCGCUGAACUUAAGCAUAUCAAUAAGCGGAGGAAAAGAAACUAACAAGGAUUCCCCUAGUAACUGCGAGUGAAGCGGGAAAAGCUCAAAUUUAAAAUCUGGCGGUCUCCGGCCGUCCGAGUUGUAAUCUAGAGAAGUGUUAUCCGCGCUGGACCGUGUAC
rnacentral:rRNA from 1 species